CCUACGGGUGGCAGCAGUGAGGAAUAUUGGUCAAUGGACGAGAGUCUGAACCAGCCAAGCCGCGUGAGGGAUGAAGGCCCUAGGUGUUGUAAACUUCUUUUGUAUGGGAAUAAAAUGUGGUACGUGUGGGAUAUUGUAUGUACCAUAUGAAUAAGGAUCGGCUAACUCCGUGCCAGCAGCCGCGGUAAUACGGAGGGUCCGAGCGUUAUCCGGAUUUAUUGGGUUUAAAGGGAGCGUAGGUGGGUGGUUAAGUCAGUUGUGAAAGUGUGCGGCUCAACCGUAGAAUUGCAGUUGAAACUGGGAGGCUGGAGUACAGGAGAGGUAGGCGGAAUUCGUGGUGUAGCGGUGAAAUGCUUAGAUAUCACGAAGAACACCGAUUGCGAAGGCAGUUCACUGGACUGUAACUGACGCUGAGGCUCGAAAGUGUGGGUAUCAAACAGGAUUAGAUACCCGUGUAGUC
rnacentral:rRNA from 1 species